rnacentral:tRNA from 2 species
GCGGCAGUGGCGGAAUGGCAGACGCGCUAGACUCAGGCUCUAGUGCCCGUUAAGGGUGUGGAGGUUCAAAUCCUCUCUGCCGCACCA